rnacentral:rRNA from 1 species
GACGAACGCUGGCGGCGUGCUUAACACAUGCAAGUCGAGCGGUAAGGCCCUUUCGGGGGUACACGAGCGGCGAACGGGUGAGUAACACGUGGGUGACCUGCCCUCAGCUCUGGGAUAAGCCUGGGAAACUGGGUCUAAUACUGGAUAUGACUCCACGGUGCAUGUCGUGGGGUGGAAAGCCUUGUGCGGCUGAGGAUGGGCCCGCGGCCUAUCAGUCUUGUUGGGUGGGGNGAUGGCCUACCAAGGCGACGACGGGUAGCCGGCCUGAGAGGGCGACCGGCCACACGUGGGACUGAGAC